UGAGGAAUAUUGGUCAAUGGACGAGAGUCUGAACCAGCCAAGUAGCGUGCAGGAUGACGGCCCUAUGGGUUGUAAACUGCUUUUGUUUGGGAAUAAUCGACAUUACGUGUAAUGUUUUGCAUGUACCAUUCGAAUAAGGACCGGCUAAUUCCGUGCCAGCAGCCGCGGUAAUACGGAAGGUCCAGGCGUUAUCCGGAUUUAUUGGGUUUAAAGGGAGUGUAGGCGGUUGGUUAAGCGUGUUGUGAAAUGUAGAUGCUCAACAUCUGACUUGCAGCGCGAACUGGCUGACUUGAGUACACACAACGUAGGCGGAAUUCAUGGUGUAGCGGUGAAAUGCGCAGAUAUCGGGAGGAACACCGACGGCGAAGGCAGCCCUCUGGGCCUUCACUGACGCUGAGGCGCGAAAGCUGGGGGAGCGAACAGG
rnacentral:rRNA from 1 species